AGCUAGAAAAGCAAGCUGCUUGUCCCACACCUCUGCAACAUUGGCUACCUCCUAAUAGAGAGCUCGGUGGAAGAGCCCAGUCCUUCAGGAGAUGUUUUCAAGUAGCCUAAAAUCAAGUGGCCUGCAAGGAUGCAUACUGGGGGCCAUCAGAAAUAUGGAACAAGAAUGAGGUUUACCACAUAAAAGUCAUAUCAUCCAUAAAGAGUAAUAAGAAGAAACCUUUUUCAAUGUUUUGGCCUGACACAUCAUUCUUUGGUCCAGUAGGAGGGGCUGACACCUUCAGUACAAUAUUAACUAGAAGAUGCAAUAUUGUGCAUCCUUACCAUGUUCUUUUAAUAUUAUUAAUACCUUCCUUUGAAGUUUUUUCUGAAUAGGCCAAAUGUCUUCUCAGCAUCAAUAUGUUAAAUUUUUUUCUCCUAAAAUCUAUUAUUAUUUUGAAUUAUAAUAAUACUUUUCCUAACAUGAAACUAUCUGGAAUGAAUCCCUCUUGGCCUUUCUGCUAGUCUUUUAAUGAACUGCUUGAUUCUAAUUGCUGUUGUUAGGUUUAAAACUUCAGUAUGUAAAUUUGUGAGAGUAAUGUGUUGAUUUUCUUUUUUUAUAAGGUUUUUGUCAGGUUUUGGUUUCAAUGUGAAGUAAGUUAAGUAGAUAUAGGGGACAAACAGGGAAACUGUAUGGUGGCCAGAGGCUGAUGCAGCCACAGAGCUAUAUUACAUCAGGACAUCAUGUCAGUGCUCAAACAGUAAGAAAACAGUGCCACCUAAACCCAGCUAGAAUGAACAUGGUCAACCAAAAAGACCACUAACUGUAUUAUAAUGCAUUUCCAAAUCAUUAGUCUUACAGAAGUGGUGAUUCCUAUCUGAUACUCUGAUAUAUUUGAAAACCCAAUAUAAGGACAAGAAAGGAGAGUAAACCAUAUUUAAGAAAUAUCCUAUAAAAUGAAAGAAAAUACCUGCCAGCUAUCCAUCAGACAAGGCAUUAAUAUUGAGAAUACAUAAAGAAUGCAACAAAUUAAACACCAAAAGAACAAACAAUCCAAUUAAUAAAUGGGAAAAUGAAUUUAACAAGCAGUUCUCAAAAGAAGUACAGAUGGCCAAUGAAUACAUGAGAAAGAGUUCAACGUCCCUAACUGUUAAGGAGAUGCAAAUAAAAAUACAUUAAGAUUCCAUCUUGCCCCCUUCAGAUUGGCUAUCAUAAAGGAAACAAAUGCUGGUGAGAAUGUGGGGAGUGGCAGAUCCUUAUGUACUUUUGAUUGGAAUGUAAAUAAAUUAGUCCAGCCACUAUGGAAAUCAGUGUGGAAGUUCCUCAAAGAAACUAAAACUAGAACCACUUUGUGACCUUGCUAAUCCACUGCUGGGCAUGUACCUGAAGUUAUCAAAGCCAGCAUGCACAGAAAUACCUGCACAAUGGCCAAGAUAUGAACUCAACCUAGGUGCCCAUUAACAAAUGACUGGUUUAGAUACACAGAGUUUUAUUCAUCCAUAAACAAGAAUGAAAUUAUGUCAUUUUGGGAAAAUGGAUGGAACUGGAGACCAACAUGUUAAGCGAGAUAAGCCAGGUUUAAAGAAACAGAUAUUGCAUACUUUCUCAUAUGCAGAAUCUAAAUCUA